ACUGUGGGUGCUGGGAGGCCCGGAGCGGCCUAUUCACCAACUCAGGCCCAGGGUGGAGCAGAGAAUGACUCAAGGCUACCCCAGCCUCUUUCUCAGACCAAGUACUGAGUGGGGCCUGACUGCGGGGUCUGUCUGGAUAGCCGGGCCAGCCUCCAAGGGGCAAGGCACCAUCCAGAAGAAGUACCUUCAUGGACUCCACUG
rnacentral:lncRNA from 1 species